rnacentral:rRNA from 1 species
AUGUUUUUAUGGGACGAGAAGACCCUAUAGAGUUUGACAUUUAGUAUUUAUUUUAUUAUUGUUUGUUAAUUUGGUUUUGUAGAUUAAAUGUUUUGUUGGGGUGAUGGGAGGAAUUUAUGUAACUCCUCUUUAUUUAUGUAUAUUUAUGUGUAUUUAUUUUGAUCCAUUUAUUUUGAUUAUAAGAUUAAAUUACCUUAGGGAUAACAGCGUUAUCUUCCCUGAGAGUUCUUAUUGGCGGGAAGGGUUGCGACCUCGAUGUUGGAUUAAGAUGAAUUUUCGGUGCAGGAGCUGAGAGUGAUUAGGUCUGUUCGACCUUUAAAAUCUUACAUGAUCUGAGUUCAGACCGGCGUGAGCCAGGUUGGUUUCUAUCUAUAAUAGUAUUUUAUAUCUUAGUACGAGAGGACCGGGUAU